UUUUUAAAAGUUUAGGGGAAAAUAGAAGGAUAAUACAUGAAAUACACAUGGUACCACUGAUGUUAAAACACAUACCACACCCAUUCACACAAAUACUGUAUAGUGUACAUCUGAAGUACCUAAUUGUGUAUUAUAAAAAUGUAUAGAGAAGGUCUGGAAGGGUACUAACCAAACUGUUCACAGUAGUUUGGUGGAGUGCAUUAGCUUUACCUGUAAUGUUUGAUGUUUUUGAGUAUGCAUUCAUGUAUUGUUUGUGUAAUGGACC
rnacentral:lncRNA from 1 species